rnacentral:rRNA from 2 species
AUACUGCAGUCGAGCGACAGAUGAGAAGCUUGCUUCUCUGAUGUUAGCGGCGGACGGGUGAGUAACACGUGGGUAACCUACCUAUAAGACUGGGAUAACUCCGGGAAACCGGGGCUAAUACCGGAUAAUAUAUUGAACCGCAUGGUUCAAUGUUGAAAGACGGUUUCGGCUGUCACUUAUAGAUGGACCCGCGCCGUAUUAGCUAGUUGGUAAGGUAACGGCUUACCAAGGCAACGAUACGUAGCCGACCUGAGAGGGUGAUCGGCCACACUGGAACUGAGACACGGUCCAGACUCCUACGGGAGGCAGCAGUAGGGAAUCUUCCGCAAUGGGCGAAAGCCUGACGGAGCAACGCCGCGUGAGUGAUGAAGGUCUUAGGAUCGUAAAACUCUGUUGUUAGGGAAGAACAAAUUUGUUAGUAACUGAACAAGUCUUGACGGUACCUAACCAGAAAGCCACGGCUAACUACGUGCCAGCAGCCGCGGUAAUACGUAGGUGGCAAGCGUUAUCCGGAAUUAUUGGGCGUAAAGCGCGCGUAGGCGGUUUCUUAAGUCUGAUGUGAAAGCCCACGGCUCAACCGUGGAGGGUCAUUGGAAACUGGGGAACUUGAGUGCAGAAGAGGAGAGUGGAAUUCCAUGUGUAGCGGUGAAAUGCGCAGAGAUAUGGAGGAACACCAGUGGCGAAGGCGGCUCUCUGGUCUGUAACUGACGCUGAUGUGCGAAAGCGUGGGGAUCAAACAGGAUUAGAUACCCUGGUAGUCCACGCCGUAAACGAUGAGUGCUAAGUGUUAGGGGGUUUCCGCCCCUUAGUGCUGCAGCUAACGCAUUAAGCACUCCGCCUGGGGAGUACGACCGCAAGGUUGAAACUCAAAGGAAUUGACGGGGACCCGCACAAGCGGUGGAACAUGUGGUUUAAUUCGAAGCAACGCGAAGAAACUUUACAAAAUCUUGACAUCCUUUGACCGCUCUAGAAAUAGAGUUUUCCCUUCCGGGGACAAAUUGACGGGUGUGCCUGGUUGUCCUCCGCCUCGUGUCGUGAAAUGUUGGGUUAAGUUCCGCAACGAACCCAACCCCUAACCUUUAUUUGCCAUCCUUAAAUUUGGGCACCUCUAGGUUGAACUGCCGG